UCUGUUGACAACAUUGUGGUGGAAGAUGAUAGAAAUCAUGAAGAUGGGCUAAGACAGGACAAACCAAAUAUAAAACAGACGAGUGAACUGUAUUCAUUCAAAAGGAAGCAAUCUUUGCAAGCUCGAUAUGUUUAUGGAUUUAUUUUCUUCGUAACAAACUUAUUGGCUUGGUUUCUUCGUGACUAUGGGCACAAGGUUCUUCAUAGUUUUCUUCCUGAAAGGGCAUGUGGAGUUGAGGGAAAUAACUGUGUUCAUGCUGGAGGAGUUCUUCGAGUGAGCUUAGGGUGUUUCACAUUUUUCUCAUUCAUGUGUGUCACCAGUUUUAGAGUUCACAAGCUGCAAGAAGCUCGCAAUUCAUGGCAUUCUGGGUGGUGGUCUCUGAAGUGCAUGGUUUAUCUUAUAUCAACAGGGUUUCCGUUCAUCAUCCCUUCAAAUAUUAU